rnacentral:misc_RNA from 1 species
GAUGAAGAACGUAGCGAAAUGCGAUACGUAAUGUGAAUUGCAGAAUUCAGUGAAUCAUCGAGUCUUUGAAUGCACAUUGCGCCCCCUGGUAUUCCGGGGGGCAUGCCUGUCCGAGCGUCAUUGCUGCCCUCAAGCACGGCUUGUGUGUUGGGCCUCCGCCCCCCGGCUCCCGGGGGGCGGGCCCGAAAGGCAGCGGCGGCACCGCGUCCGGUCCUCGAGCGUAUGGGGCUUCGUCACCCGCUCCGUAGGCCCGGCCGGCGCCCGCCGGCGACCCCCCUCAAUCUUUCCAGGUUGACCUCGGAUCAGGUAGGGAUACCCGCUGAACUUAAGCAUAUCAAUAAGCGGAGGA